GUGAGUUUGAUCUCAGAGCUGAAGCCAGAGCAGCACAACCUUCAGAUGUGAUAUCACAAUCAAACAGUCUGCAGAAAACAAUGACACACUCUCUUAGUUCAGGAACUACACAACUUCACAUAGAGACUGAGAUUUUAAAUAAUAAAUCUGUUUUACAGUGAGGAUCCUUCAGUCCAUCAGAGAGCAGCAUCAGACCUCGACCUCCUAUUUUAUUCUGAGUCAGAUCCAGUUCUCUGAGGUGUGAGUUUGAUCUCAGAGCUGAAGUCAGAGCAGCACAACCUCCAGCUGUGAUAUCACAAUCAAACAACCUGCAGAAAAAAUUGACACACUCUUUUAGUUCAGCAAGAACUACACAACCACAGAGAGACUGAGAUAUUAAAUAAUAAAUCUGUAGGGGCUCAGAGAGGAUAUUCUACUCAAGCUCUGAUUGCCCCAUUACACAGACAAAAUAAUAUACAAAAAGGAGGAGAAAGGGAGGAGGAGGGAUGCCGAAAGAACUAACAAUGAGAAGAGGUAUGAUGCUGGUUUUAAUACCUUAGUAUUAAUUAGAAGAUUAGAUGAGCGACUCCUUCUGAAAUUACGUUAAUAACUUCACUAAUGUAAGUCACUAGGAUUUGAAUAACAUACAACGAAUAAUCCCUUCUCUGUUGUGAUUAAUGUAUGA